AGGAUGAACGCUGGCGGCGUGCUUAACACAUGCAAGUCGAACGAUGAAGCCGGAGCUUGCUCUGGUGGAUUAGUGGCGAACGGGUGAGUAACACGUGAGUAACCUGCCCUUGACUCUGGGAUAAGCGUUGGAAACGACGUCUAAUACCGGAUACGACGCGCGAAGGCAUCUUCUGCGCGUGGAAAGAAUUUCGGUCAAGGAUGGACUCGCGGCCUAUCAGCUAGUUGGUGAGGUAACGGCCCACCAAGGCGACGACGGGUAGCCGGCCUGAGAGGGUGACCGGCCACGACUGGGACUGAGACACGGCCCAGACUCCUACGGGAGGCAGCAGUGGGGAAUAUUGCACAAUGGGCGCAAGCCUGAUGCAGCAACGCCGCGUGAGGGACGACGGCCUUCGGUUGUAAACCUCUUUACGUAGGAAGAAGCGAAAGUGACGGUACCUGCAGAAAAGCACGGCUAACUACGUGCCAGCAGCCGC
rnacentral:rRNA from 1 species